rnacentral:rRNA from 1 species
UACGAAGGGGGCUAGCGUUGCUCGGAAUCACUGGGCGUAAAGCGCACGUAGGCGGCUUUCUAAGUCAGGGGUGAAAUCCUGGAGCUCAACUCCAGAACUGCCUUUGAUACUGGAGAGCUCGAGUCCGGAAGAGGUGAGUGGAACUCCGAGUGUAGAGGUGAAGUUCGUAGAUAUUCGGAAGAACACCAGUGGCGAAGGCGGCUCACUGGUCCGGUACUGACGCUGAUGUGCGAAAGCGUGGGGGAGCAAACAGG